AUUGAACGCUGGCGGCAGGCCUAACACAUGCAAGUCGAACGAGUGGCGGACGGGUGAGUAAUGUCUGGGAAACUGCCUGAUGGAGGGGGAUAACUACUGGAAACGGUAGCUAAUACCGCAUACCAUCGGAUGUGCCCGGAUGGGAUUAGCUGGUAGGUGGGUUAAAGGCUCCCCUAGGCGACGAUCCCUAGCUGGUCUGAGAGGAUGACCAGCCAAACUGGAACGGAGAUACGGUCCAGACUCAUACGGUAGGAAGCAGUGGGGAAUAUGGCACAAUGGGCGCAAGCCGGAUGCAGCCAUGCCGCGUGUAGGAAGAAGGCCUUGGGGUUGUAAAGUACUUUCAGCGGGGAGGCGUUACCCGCAGAAGAAGCACCGGCUAACGCCGUGCCAGCAGCCGCGGUAAUAC
rnacentral:rRNA from 1 species